AUACGGGGGAUUCAAGCGUUAUCCGGACUUAUUGGGUUUAAAGGGUGCGUAGGCUGAUAAAUCAGUCAGCGGUGAAAUUUACGGGCUUAACUUGUAGCUUGCCGUUGAAACUAUUUAUCUAGAGAUAUUUCGGCGUAUGCGGAAUGUAUCAAGUAGCGGUGAAAUGCAUAGAUAUGCUACAGAACACCAAUCGCGAAGGCAGCAUACGAGGCAUCAUCUGACGCUGAUGCACGAAAGCGUGGGGAUCAAACAGGAUUAGAUACCCUGGUAGUCCACGCUGUAAACGAUGAAUACUAGGUGUGGGGGGACUGACCCCCUCCGUGCCGCAGUUAACACAAUAAGUAUUCCACCUGGGGAGUACGAUCGCAAGAUUGAAACUCAAAUGAAUUGGCGGGG
rnacentral:rRNA from 1 species